rnacentral:rRNA from 1 species
GACGAACGCUGGCGGCGUGCCUAAUACAUGCAAGUAGAACGCUGAAGAGAGGAGCUUGCUCUUCUUGGAUGAGUUGCGAACGGGUGAGUAACGCGUAGGUAACCUGCCUUGUAGCGGGGGAUAACUAUUGGAAACGAUAGCUAAUACCGCAUAACAAUGGAUGACACAUGUCAUUUAUUUGAAAGGGGCAAUUGCUCCACUACAAGAUGGACCUGCGUUGUAUUAGCUAGUAGGUGAGGUAACGGCUCACCUAGGCGACGAUACAUAGCCGACCUGAGAGGGUGAUCGGCCACACUGGGACUGAGACACGGCCCAGACUCCUACGGGAGGCAGCAGUCGGGAAUCUUCGGCAAUGGGGGCAACCCUGACCGAGCAACGCCGCGUGAGUGAAGAAGGUUUUCGGAUCGUAAAGCUCUGUUGUAAGUCAAGAACGAGUGUGAGAGUGGAAAGUUCACACUGUGACGGUAGCUUACCAGAAAGGGACGGCUAACUACGUGCCAGCAGCCGCGGUAAUACGUAGGUCCCGAGCGUUGUCCGGAUUUAUUGGGCGUAAAGCGAGCGCAGGCGGUUUGAUAAGUCUGAAGUUAAAGGCUGUGGCUCAACCAUAGUUCGCUUUGGAAACUGUCAAACUUGAGUGCAGAAGGGGAGAGUGGAAUUCCAUGUGUAGCGGUGAAAUGCGUAGAUAUAUGGAGGAACACCGGUGGCGAAAGCGGCUCUCUGGUCUGUAACUGACGCUGAGGCUCGAAAGCGUGGGGAGCGAACAGGAUUAGAUACCCUGGUAGUCCACGCCGUAAACGAUGAGUGCUAGGUGUUGGAUCCUUUCCGGGAUUCAGUGCCGCAGCUAACGCAUUAAGCACUCCGCCUGGGGAGUACGACCGCAAGGUUGAAACUCAAAGGAAUUGACGGGGGCCCGCACAAGCGGUGGAGCAUGUGGUUUAAUUCGAAGCAACGCGAAGAACCUUACCAGGUCUUGACAUCCCGAUGCUAUUUCUAGAGAUAGAAAGUUACUUCGGUACAUCGGUGACAGGUGGUGCAUGGUUGUCGUCAGCUCGUGUCGUGAGAUGUUGGGUUAAGUCCCGCAACGAGCGCAACCCCUAUUGUUAGUUGCCAUCAUUCAGUUGGGCACUCUAGCGAGACUGCCGGUAAUAAACCGGAGGAAGGUGGGGAUGACGUCAAAUCAUCAUGCCCCUUAUGACCUGGGCUACACACGUGCUACAAUGGUUGGUACAACGAGUUGCGAGUCGGUGACGGCAAGCUAAUCUCUUAAAGCCAAUCUCAGUUCGGAUUGUAGGCUGCAACUCGCCUACAUGAAGUCGGAAUCGCUAGUAAUCGCGGAUCAGCACGCCGCGGUGAAUACGUUCCCGGGCCU